rnacentral:rRNA from 1 species
UACAGAGGGUGCGAGCGUUAAUCGGAUUUAUUGGGCUUAAAGGGUGCGUAGGCGGUUAAUUAAGUCAGUGGUGAAAUCCUGGAGCUCAACUUCAGAACUGCCAUUGAUACUGGUUGACUUGAGUACAGACGAGGUUGGCGGAAUUGAUGGUGUAGCGGUGAAAUGCAUAGAUACCAUCAAGAACACCGAUUGCGAAGGCAGCUAACUAGGCUGUAACUGACGCUGAGGCACGAAAGUGUGGGGAGCAAACAGG